rnacentral:RNase_P_RNA from 1 species
ACAUCGUCCGGGCAAUUGCUGUCCCGAAAUAUCGGGAGAGAGGAAAGUCCGAACUUCAUAGAACAGGGUGCCGGGUAACUCCCGGUGGCUCGGUUGUAAUGACCGGGUUAAGGAAAGUGCCACAGAAAAUAAACUAUCCGUUAGCUAACGGAUAAAGGUGAAAAGGCAGGGUAAGAGCCUACCGCGGUAAUGGUAACAUUACCGGUCCCUAAAGGGAUUCCGUUUUUAACGGAACAAGGUAAACCCCACCCGAAGCAAGACCAAAUAUAGAAGUCGUACCUUUUUAGGUAACAAGGUUGUUCGCUUUGUAUGGCUUCAGGGUAGGUCGCUUGAACCCGCCGGUAACAGCGGGUCUAGAUAAAUAAUUGCCGUCCGUCAGCUGACGGAUUACAGAAUUCGGCUUAUAGGACGAGUGUUCAU